rnacentral:rRNA from 1 species
CAAUUAUAUCGUAAAUUUAACUGUUAAUCUAAAGGGGUACAGCCCUUUAGACUAAGGAUACAACCUUAAUUAGAGAGUAAAACAUGUCAAUAACCAUAGUUGGCCUAAAAGCAGCCAUCAAUUAAGAAAGCGUUCAAGCUCAACAAUAACCUACCUCUUAAUUCAAUAAUUACUAUUUAACUCCUAAUUUACCACUGGACCAAUCUAUUAACUAAUAGAAGAAAUACUGUUAAUAUGAGUAACAAGAUUUAUAUCUCCUAGCACAAGCUUAUGUCAGACCAAAUAAUAACUGAUAGUUAACAGCCAUAUAAAUAUAACCUUACAUAGAUCAUUUAUUAACCCACUGUUAACCCAACACAGGUGUGCAUAAAGGAAAGAUUAAAAGGAAUAAAAGGAACUCGGCAAACACAAACCCCGCCUGUUUACCAAAAACAUCACCUCUAGCAUUACUAGUAUUAGAGGCACUGCCUGCCCAGUGACAACUGUUAAACGGCCGCGGUAUCCUGACCGUGCAAAGGUAGCAUAAUCAUUUGUUCCUUAAAUAGGGACUUGUAUGAAUGGCCACACGAGGGUUUAACUGUCUCUUAUUCCUAAUCAGUGAAAUUGACCUUCCCGUGAAGAGGCGGAAAUAAUCUAAUAAGACGAGAAGACCCUAUGGAGCUUUAAUUGACUUAACCCAACAGAAUAACAUUUGACUCCACCAAGGAUUAACAAGUAUUCUAACUGGGUUAUAAAUUUCGGUUGGGGUGACCUCGGAGCACAAAGCAACCUCCGAGAAAUAUCUACUAAGACCAACAAGUCGAAGUGAAAUUCUAAAUUGAUCCAGUCUUACUGAUCAACGGAACAAGUUACCCUAGGGAUAACAGCGCAAUCCUAUUCUAGAGUCCCUAUCGACAAUAGGGUUUACGACCUCGAUGUUGGAUCAGGACAUCCCAAUGGUGCAGCAGCUAUUAAUGGUUCGUUU